UCUUGGGCUUCACGCAUGCUACAAUGGCGGUACAAUGGGUUGCGAUACUGUGAGGUGGAGCUAAUCCCUAAAAGCCGGUCUCAGUUCGGAUUGGGGUCUGCAACUCGACCCCAUGAAGUCGGAGUCGCUAGUAAUCGCAGAUCAGCAACGCUGCGGUGAAUACGUUCCCGGGCCUUGUACACACCGCCCGUCAAGUCACGAAAGUUGGUAACACCCGAAGCCGAUGGCCUAACCACCUUGUGUGGGGGGAGUCGUCGAAGUGGGACUGGCGAUUGGGACUAAGUCGUAACAAGGUAGCCGUACCGGAAGGUGCGGCUGGAUCACCUCCUUUCUAAGGA
rnacentral:rRNA from 1 species